rnacentral:rRNA from 1 species
GACGAACGCUGGCGGCGUGCUUAACACAUGCAAGUCGAGCGGUAAGGCCCUUCGGGGUACACGAGCGGCGAACGGGUGAGUAACACGUGGGUGAUCUGCCCUGCACUCUGGGAUAAGCCUGGGAAACUGGGUCUAAUACCGGAUAUGACCUCUGGUUGCAUGACCGGGGGUGGAAAGAUUUAUCGGUGCAGGAUGGGCCCGCGGCCUAUCAGCUUGUUGGUGGGGUAAUGGCCUACCAAGGCGACGACGGGUAGCCGGCCUGAGAGGGCGACCGGCCACACUGGGACUGAGACACGGCCCAGACUCCUACGGGAGGCAGCAGUGGGGAAUAUUGCACAAUGGGCGGAAGCCUGAUGCAGCGACGCCGCGUGAGGGAUGACGGCCUUCGGGUUGUAAACCUCUUUCGACAGGGACGAAGCGCAAGUGACGGUACCUGUAGAAGAAGCACCGGCCAACUACGUG